GGCCAGUUGGCUCAGUCAACUGAGCAUGGUGCUAACAACGCUAAGGUCGCGGGUUCGAUUCCUGUUUGGUCC
rnacentral:tRNA from 1 species